AUGUGAUCGUCUCUCGCAUAUCAAUAAGCGGAGGAAAAGAAACUAACAAGGAUUCCCCUAGUAACGGCGAGUGAAGCGGGAAGAGCUCAAAUUUGAAAUCUUAAAGGGUUUCCCUUUACGAAUUGUAGUUUAAAGAAGUGUUUUCUGUUGAGGUUUUGGUAAAAGUUCUUUGGAAUAGGACAUCAUAGAGGGUGAGAAUCCCGUAUUUGACCUUUACUUUCAACUUUGUGAUACACUUUCAAAGAGUCGGAUUGUUUGGGAAUGCAGUCCAAAAUGGGUGGUAAAUUUCAUCUAAAGCUAAAUAUUGGCGAGAGACCGAUAGCGAACAAGUACCGUGAGGGAAAGAUGAAAAGAACUUUGAAAAGAGAGUUAAACAGUACGUGAAAUUGUCAAAAGGGAAGCGUUUGACACCAGUGUUGUUUUUCUGAAAAUCAAUUAAAGAACUGUUUAUGCUAAGCUGUUUAGACUUUAUCAGCUAUCUGUUUAGUUUUGAGCUUUUCUUUAAUGCACUUUUCAGUUAACAAGUCAACAUCAAUUUCUUUUGCUGUAAAAAAGCUUGAGGAAGGUGGCUUGAGAUUCGUCUUAAGUGUUUAUAGCCUCUUGCCUAUGCAGUCGGAGAGAUUGAGGUCUGCAGCGUAGAUCCUUCGGGGCUAAAUGCAUUUGUGCUAAGUUAUAGCAUUUUAUAGACAACUUGUUGACUAUGAUUUGUCUUGUAGCUUACUCGCUUAUGUUAUUUUACCUACGCUUAGGAUGUUGAUCUCUCACAGUCGAGC
rnacentral:rRNA from 1 species